CCUACGGGGUGUAGCAGUGGGGAAUAUUGCGCAAUGGGCGAAAGCCUGACGCAGCGACGCCGCGUGAGGGAUGAAGGUCUUCGGAUCGUAAACCUCUGUCAGCAGGGAAGAACGGUCACUGUGCUAAUCAGCAGUGAAUUGACGGUACCUGCAAAGGAAGCACCGGCUAACUCCGUGCCAGCAGCCGCGGUAAUACGGAGGGUGCGAGCGUUAAUCGGAAUUACUGGGCGUAAAGCGCUCGUAGGCGGUAUGUCAAGUCAAGGGUGAAAUCCACGCGCUCAACGUGGGAACUGCCUUUGAAGUUGGCAAAAGUGAGUGUGUGAGAGGAUAGUGGAAUUACAGGGGG
rnacentral:rRNA from 1 species